CCAGAGAACUUAGCAGAGAUGCUUUGGUGCCUUCGGGAACUCUGAGACAGGUGCUGCAUGGCUGUCGUCAGCUCGUGUUGUGAAAUGUUGGGUUAAGUCCCGCAACGAGCGCAACCCUUAUCCUUUGUUGCCAGCGGCUCGGCCGGGAACUCAAAGGAGACUGCCGGUGAUAAACCGGAGGAAGGUGGGGAUGACGUCAAGUCAUCAUGGCCCUUACGGCCAGGGCUACACACGUGCUACAAUGGCGCAUACAAAGAGAAGCGACCUCGCGAGAGCAAGCGGACCUCACAAAGUGCGUCGUAGUCCGGAUUGGAGUCUGCAACUCGACUCCAUGAAGUCGGAAUCGCUAGUAAUCGUGGAUCAGAAUGCUACGGUGAAUACGUUCCCGGGCCUUGUACACACCGCCCGUCACACCAUGGGAGUGGGUUGCAAAAGAAGUAGGUAGCUUAACCUUCGGGAGGGCGCUUACCACUUUGUGAUUCAUGACUGGGGUGAAGUCGUAACAAGGUAGGCGUAGCGAG
rnacentral:rRNA from 1 species